UAAAACACAAAUUUUUAAAGAAGGUAGUGCUGAGAAGAACUAAAAGAGGGAGGGCUGCUGAUCUUGGUCUUCCUCCACGAAUUGUAUCAUUGAGGAGGGACGUACUGGAUAUCAGGGAGCGGGAUUAUUACGAGUCAUUGUAUAAUGAGAGUCAGGCACAGUUUAACACAUAUGUUGAAGCAGGAACAAUUAUGCAUAACUAUGGUCACAUUUUUUGACCUUCUCACACGUUUGCGUCAGGUGAGCA